CACCCAUGGAGGAGGAGGGAAAGUGGCUCUACUCUGGCUCCUCCUCCGGUGUAAAGCUUCUUCCAGGACCAAAGCUGCAUCAAGGCCCAGGAAAGGUACCCCGAAGACAGAUGGUGACUGAGUUCAGAGCAACUGCCUUAUGACAACCCUCAGCAAAGCUGUUUCCCGCUGUGGUUUCACUCUGUUGGUGACAGCCAAGGCAAAAUCCCAAGACACAUCAGGGAUACAGGCAUCAGUCAGUGCGUCAGCUGGGAGGAAGCAGCGAGGGCUGGCUGCUCCAUGGAGGAAGAACUCACCUCUGAGUGAUGACAGGAAAAAUCAACUGCUCAGCAUCAACUGCCAUCCUCACUGGUCCCUGAGGAUUUGUGCUAUCCUCACCCUGAGGAGAAGAGGGGGCUAGCAUCCACCAGCACCCUUUCUGGACCAAGACUACGGUGUAUCAAGGUACAGCAGUGUGCUGGGUUCAAAGAUUUUAGUCUAAACUCUGCUUCCAGCUUCUCUCCAGCAAGGCCCUACUUGAAGAAAUUAAGCCUGAAAGAAAUGAGGCUUUAUAAAAGGCACAGAGGGCUCUGCCACAGGCACUGAGACACAGCCAGGCCACAGCUUGUUGGAAGGGAGCACCUCCAUUAGCAUGAAGAAAGAAGAUCCAACAAUGGCAUUUUAGUUUGUGGGCAUCUUAAUGGCUCUGAAACUGCUGGCCCACCUCCUCCUGCCACUGUGUCAGCCCAGCAUGCCUCACCCAUCACCACAUGGAUGUAAAGCUGUAAUUGCCAGCCUGGGGAUGGGGGCCCAGGGGAAUUCUCUGAGGCAGUCGGGCUCUCCGGCAGCCUGUCAGC